AGAGUUUGAUCAUGGCUCAGAACGAACGUUGGCGGCGUGGAUUAGGCAUGCAAGUCGAACGAACCUCCGGGGCAACUCGGAGGUGAGUGGCGAAAGGGGCAGUAAGGCAUGGGUAACGUACCCCCUGGUCUGGGAUAGCCUCGGGAAACUGAGGGUAAUACCAGGUAAUGUGGAGGCGUCGCAUGGCGCUAUCACCAGAGGUCAGCCGCCGGGGGAGCGGCCCAUGUAGUAUUAGCUUGUUGGCGGGGUAACGGCCCACCAAGGCAAAGAUGCUUAGCGGGUGUGAGAGCACGACCCGCGCCACUGGCACUGAGACACUGGCCAGACUCCUACGGGAGGCUGCAGUCGAGGAUCUUCGGCAAUGGGCGCAAGCCUGACCGAGCGACGCCGCGUGUGCGAUGAAGGCCUUCGGGUUGUAAAGCACUUUGGCGGGGGAGGAAAGCCCGAAAGGGUCUGACCUAUCCCGAGAACAAGCACGGGCUAAGUUCGUGCCAGCAGCCGCGGUAAGACGAACCGUGCGAACGUUGUUCGGAAUCACUGGGCUUAAAGGGCGCGUAGGCGGACGACCAAGUCGGGGGUGAAAUCUUUCGGCUCAACCGGAAAAUAGCCUUCGAUACUGGCCGUCUGGAGGGAGGUAGGGGCGUGUGGAACUUCCGGUGGAGCGGUGAAAUGCGUUGAUAUCGGGAGGAACUCCGGUGGCGAAAGCGACACGCUGGAUCUCAUCUGACGCUGAGGCGCGAAAGCCAGGGGAGCGAACGGGAUUAGAUACCCCGGUAGUCCUGGCCCUAAACGGUGGGUACUGGGUAGUGGACUUGACAUGGGUUCACUGCCGAAGCGAAAGUGGUAAGUACCCCGCCUGGGGAGUAUGGUCGCAAGGCUGAAACUCAAAGGAAUUGACGGGGGCUCACACAAGCGGUGGAGCAUGUGGCUUAAUUCGAGGCUACGCGAAGAACCUUAUCCUGGGCUUGACAUGUGCUAAAGCGGUGGGAAGUAGCUGCCGGAAACGGCCAGCCAACGGUAUCCAGUCCGGAACCUACUACAGGUGCUGCAUGGUUGUCGUCAGCUCGUGUCGUGAGAUGUUGGGUUAAGUCCCGUAACGAGCGAAACCCUUGUCUUCAGUUGCCAGCGCGUUAUGGCGGGGACUCUGGAGAGACUGCCGGUGUUAAACCGGAGGAAGGUGGGGAUGACGUCAAGUCCUCAUGGCCUUUAUGCCCAGGGCUGCACACGUGCUACAAUGGCGUGAACAAAGGGACGCGAACUCGCGAGAGGGAGCCAAUCCCAAAAAACACGCCCCAGUUCAGAUCGAAGGCUGCAACUCGCCUUCGUGAAGCCGGAAUCGCUAGUAAUCGCGGGUCAGCAACACCGCGGUGAAUGUGUUCCUGAGCCUUGUACACACCGCCCGUCAAGCCACGAAAAUCCGGGGCAUCCGAAGUCGCCGUGCCAACCGCAAGGGGGCAAGCGCCGACGAUGAACCGGGUAAUUGGGACUAAGUCGUAACAAGGUAACCGUA
rnacentral:rRNA from 1 species